GAUCAUGGCUCAGAUUGAACGCUGGCGGCAUGCCUUACACAUGCAAGUCGAACGGCAGCACGGGAGCUUGCUCCUGGUGGCAAGUGGCGAACGGGUGAGUAAUACAUCGGAACGUACCCUGAAGUGGGGGAUAACGUAGCGAAAGUUACGCUAAUACCGCAUAUUCUGUGAGCAGGAAAGAGGGGGAUCGCAAGACCUCUUGCUUUAGGAGCGGCCGAUGUCGGAUUAGCUAGUUGGUGAGGUAAAGGCUCACCAAGGCGACGAUCCGUAGCGGGUCUGAGAGGAUGAUCCGCCACACUGGGACUGAGACACGGCCCAGACUCCUACGGGAGGCAGCAGUGGGGAAUUUUGGACAAUGGGCGCAAGCCUGAUCCAGCCAUGCCGCGUGAGUGAAGAAGGCCUUCGGGUUGUAAAGCUCUUUCGGUGGGGAAGAAAUUGCUUCGGUUAAUACCUGGAGUAGAUGACGGUACCCGCAUAAGAAGCACCGGCUAACUACGUG
rnacentral:rRNA from 1 species